rnacentral:pre_miRNA from 1 species
UGCUCGCCGCCUGGGACUUCGUCUCAACCUUUGUUUAUAUUGGUCUAGGUGAGCAAAGUUUCAGGUGUGCGAGCAU